UACGUAGGCAGCAAGCGUUGUUCGGAGUUACUGGGCGUAAAGGGUGUGUAGGCGGUUAUUUAAGUUUGGUGUGAAAUCUCCCGGCUCAACCGGGAGGGUGCGCCGAAUACUGAAUGACUUGGAGUGCGGGAGAGGAAAGUGGAAUUCCUUGUGUAGCGGUGAAAUGCGUAGAUAUCAGGAGGAACACCGGUGGUGUAGACGGCUUUCUGGACCGUAACUGACGCUGAGACACGAAAGCGUGGGUAGCAAACAGG
rnacentral:rRNA from 1 species